rnacentral:rRNA from 1 species
AGUGAACGCUGGCGGUAGGCCUAACACAUGCAAGUCGAACGGCAGCACAGUAAGAGCUUGCUCUUACGGGUGGCGAGUGGCGGACGGGUGAGGAAUACAUCGGAAUCUACUUUUUCGUGGGGGAUAACGUAGGGAAACUUACGCUAAUACCGCAUACGACCUACGGGUGAAAGCAGGGGAUCUUCGGACCUUGCGCGAUUGAAUGAGCCGAUGUCGGAUUGGCUAGUUGGCGGGGUAAAGGCCCACCAAGGCGACGAUCCGUAGCUGGUCUGAGAGGAUGAUCAGCCACACUGGAACUGAGACACGGUCCAGACUCCUACGGGAGGCAGCAGUGGGGAAUAUUGCACAAUGGGCGCAAGCUUGAUCCAGCCAUACCGCGUGGGUGAAGAAGGCCUUCGGGUUGUAAAGCCCUUUUGUUGGGAAAGAAAAGCAGUGGGUUAAUACCCCGCUGUUCUGACGGUACCCAAAGAGUAAGCACCGGCUAACUUCGUG